GCGCUUGCUUUGGCAGCACGUAUACUAAAAUUGGAACAAUACAGAGAUGAGUAUGGCCCCUGGGCAAGGAUGACAUGAAAACCCAUGAAGCCGUCCAUAUUUUU
ensembl:snRNA U6 U6 spliceosomal RNA